rnacentral:siRNA from 1 species
CUUCAAGACUGGACACACUAGGC